UGGGGAAUAUUGCACAAUGGGGGAAACCCUGAUGCAGCGACGCCGCGUGAACGAAGAAGGUAUUCGUAUCGUAAAGUUCUGUCCUAUGGGAAGAUAAUGACAGUACCAUAGAAGAAAGCUCCGGCUAAAUACGUGCCAGCAGCCGCGGUAAUACGUAUGGAGCGAGCGUUGUCCGGAAUUAUUGGGCGUAAAGGGUACGCAGGCGGUUUAAUAAGUCGAAUGUUAAAGAUCGGGGCUCAACCCCGUAAAGCAUUGGAAACUGAUAAACUUGAGGAGUGGAGAGGAAAGUGGAAUUCCUAGUGUAGUGGUGAAAUACGUAGAUAUUAGGGGGAAUACCAGUAGCGAAGGCGACUUUCUGGACACAAACUGACGCUGAGGUACGAAAGCGUGGGGAGCAAACAGG
rnacentral:rRNA from 1 species